rnacentral:rRNA from 1 species
UACGUAGGGUGCAAGCGUUGUCCGGAAUUAUUGGGCGUAAAGAGCUCGUAGGCGGUUUGUCGCGUCGUCCGUGAAAACCUGCGGCUCAACUGCAGGCUGGCGGUCGAUACGGGCAGGCUGGAGUUCGGUAGGGGAGACUGGAAUUCCUGGUGUAGCGGUGAAAUGCGCAGAUAUCAGGAGGAACACCGGUGGCGAAGGCGGGUCUCUGGGCCGAUACUGACGCUGAGGAGCGAAAGCGUGGGGAGCGAACAGG